CGCGGUUAUACCAAGUGAUUAAGUUAUAUUCCUAGGUAAAAAGACAGUUAGGUUUAGAAAUGAAUUUAGUUUAUUGACCACUUAUAAAAAAGUAAAAUUUGUAUAUAAGUAGCUAAUCUAGAAAUAGCUAGAUUAAAUGCUGAAGCUGUGAUAGUCUUGAGGGAAACUGGGAUUAGAUACCCCAUUAUUCUUGACUGUAAAUAUAAUUAGACUUACCAGAGUACUAUGAAUAGUUAAAAAUUUAAAACUCAAAGGGCUUGGCGGUGUUUUAGACCUAUCAGGGGAACCUGUCUCAUAAUCGACAAUCCACGUUAUAUCUAACCUUACUUUGUACCCAGUUUGUAUACCGUCGUCGUCAGGUAACUUUUAAAAACAUAGAAGUUAGCACCAAAAAUUGUGUAAAUUAAGACGUCAGAUCAAGGUGCAACCUAUAGUAAGGAGAGGAUGGGUUACAAUUAUUAGAUUUAUAAUUACGGAAAUUUAAAUGAAAUCAUAUUUUGAAGGAGGACUUGAAAGUAAACUAGAAUAUAUAAAUAGUUUGAAUAAGGCUCUG
rnacentral:rRNA from 1 species